AUGGCAGGAGGAGACGAACUGAAGCUGCUCGGCUCGUGGCUAAGCCCAUUUGCCACUAGGGUGAAGCUUGCCCUCACCCUCAAGGGCCUGAGGUACGAAAACGUGGAGGAGGACCUCUCCAACAAGAGCGAGCUGCUCCGCAGCUCCAACCCUGUGCACAAGAAGGUGCCAGUGCUUAUCCACAACGGCGCUCCCGUGUGCGAGUCCACAAUCAUCCUGCAGUACAUCGACGAAGCAUUCGCCGACAUCGGCCCCUCCCUCCUCCCCUCGGACCCCCACCAACGUGCCGUCGCUCGCUUCUGGGCCGCCUACAUCGAUGACAAGCUCGUGAUCCCAUGGGUGCGGUCGUUCAGGGGCAAGACGGAGGAGGAGAAGUCUGAGUGGAUGGAGCAGACGUUCAUCGCCGUGGAGGCCCUGGAAGGAGCCCUGAGGGAGUGCGCGAAGGGCAAGGGCUUCUUCGGCGGCGACAAUGUCGGGCUCGUCGACGUCGUGCUAGGCAGCCUGCUCACGUGGGUGCACGCGACCGAGGUGAUGUCGGGGACCAAGAUGUUUGACCCUUCUAAGACCCCACUGCUGGCCACGUGGAUGGAGCGCUUCGACGAGCUUGCCGCUGCCAAGGCCGUCAUGCCGGACGUUAACAGGAUGGUCGAGUUCAAGACGAGGCAGGCGCAGGCCAUCUCUGUCGCUGCAGCUUCACAGCGUCAGUAA
rnacentral:rRNA from 1 species